rnacentral:rRNA from 1 species
GACGAACGCUGGCGGCGUGCUUAACACAUGCAAGUCGAACGAAGUGGCGAACGGGUGAGUAACGCGUAAUCAACCUGCCCUUCAGAGGGGUACAACAGCUGGAAACGAUUGCUAAUACCGCCUAAUGUAGGAGGGGAUUGCGUCUGAUUCGUUAGUUGGAGGGGUAACGGCCCACCAAGGCUAUGAUCAGUAGCCGGUCUUAGAGGAUGAACGGGACCACUGGGACUGAGACACGGCCCAGACUCCUACGGGAGGCAGCAGUGGGGAAUUUUCCGCAAUGGACGGAAGUCUGACGGAGCAACGCCGCGUGAGUGAUGACGGCCUUCGGGUUUGAAAGCUCUGUUAAUCGGGACGCGGUACCGGAAUAGAAAGCCACGGCUAACUACGUGCCAGCAGCCGCGGUAAUAC